rnacentral:rRNA from 1 species
UACGAAGGGAGCUAGCGUUGUUCGGAAUCACUGGGCGUAAAGCGCACGUAGGCGGCUGUGUCAGUCAGGGGUGAAAUCCCGGAGCUCAACUUCGGAACUGCCUUUGAUACAGCACGUCUUGAGUCCGAGAGAGGUGGGUGGAAUUCCUAGUGUAGAGGUGAAAUUCGUAGAUAUUAGGAAGAACACCAGUGGCGAAGGCGGCCCACUGGCUCGGUACUGACGCUGAGGUGCGAAAGCGUGGGGAGCAAACAGG